rnacentral:rRNA from 1 species
CCUACGGGGGGCAGCAGUGAGGAAUAUUGGUCAAUGGGCGCAAGCCUGAACCAGCCAAGUAGCGUGCAGGACGACGGCCCUACGGGUUGUAAACUGCUUUUGUACGGGGAUAAAACGGCGGACGUGUCCGUCCUUGCAGGUACCGUACGAAUAAGGACCGGCUAAUUCCGUGCCAGCAGCCGCGGUAAUACGGAAGGUCCGGGCGUUAUCCGGAUUUAUUGGGUUUAAAGGGAGCGUAGGCCGGGGAUUAAGUGUGUUGUGAAAUGUAGGCGCUCAACGUCUGAUGUGCAGCGCAUACUGGUUCCCUUGAGUACGCGCAACGCCGGCGGAAUUCGUCGUGUAGCGGUGAAAUGCUUAGAUAUGACGAAGAACCCCGAUUGCGAAGGCAGCCGGCGGGAGCGCAACUGACGC